AAGUCGUAACAAGGUUUCCGUAGGUGAACCUGCGGAAGGAUCAUUAUCACGUUGCAAAACACUUAUCAACCUUGCGUGCACUCGGUUCCUUCAGAAUAACUUAUGGGUUUGGGUGGUUUUGGGGUUGUUUGUUGAAGUGGUUUGGAACACCCGCCAUCUUUGGUUUUGACAGUCAUUGAAGCGUGGUUCACUCGUGGAUCUGUCUUCUGAUUGUUUUGACCAGCCCUGUUCUGAAGAGCUGUUUUUUGCGGUACCACCUCAGCCGCGUCUUGUUUCACCUUUUUUCCUUUUUAAACCCCUGUACGAUUCAUGAACUGAUUUGGUUCUUUUGUCUGGUCAUUCAGUUGACUGUUCGAAAGAAUUCACUUACAAAAACAUCAAAACAACUCUUAACAACGGAUAUCUUGGUUCCCG
rnacentral:misc_RNA from 1 species